rnacentral:rRNA from 1 species
AACGCUAGCUACAGGCUUAACACAUGCAAGUCGAGGGGAAACGAUAUUGGAAGCUUGCUUCCGAUAGGCGUCGACCGGCGCACGGGUGAGUAACGCGUAUCCAACCUGCCCAUCACUUGGGGAUAACCUUGCGAAAGUAAGACUAAUACCCAAUGACGUCUCUAGAAGACAUCUGAAGGAGAUUAAAGAUUUAUCGGUGAUGGAUGGGGAUGCGUCUGAUUAGCUUGUUGGCGGGGUAACGGCCCACCAAGGCGACGAUCAGUAGGGGUUCUGAGAGGAAGGUCCCCCACAUUGGAACUGAGACACGGUCCAAACUCCUACGGGAGGCAGCAGUGAGGAAUAUUGGUCAAUGGGCGAGAGCCUGAACCAGCCAAGUAGCGUGCAGGAUGACGGCCCUAUGGGUUGUAAACUGCUUUUAUAAGGGAAUAAAGUGAGUCUCGUGAGACUUUUUGCAUGUACCUUAUGAAUAAGGACCGGCUAAUUCCGUGCCAGCAGCCGCGGUAAUACGGAAGGUCCGGGCGUUAUCCGGAUUUAUUGGGUUUAAAGGGAGCGUAGGCCGGAGAUUAAGCGUGUUGUGAAAUGUAGACGCUCAACGUCUGCACUGCAGCGCGAACUGGUUUCCUUGAGUACGCACAAAGUGGGCGGAAUUCGUGGUGUAGCGGUGAAAUGCUUAGAUAUCACGAAGAACUCCGAUUG